UAUAAGUGUAUUAUAAGUUAC
rnacentral:siRNA from 1 species